rnacentral:rRNA from 1 species
UACGGAAGGGGCAAGCGUUGUUCGGAAUCAUUGGGCGUAAAGGGCGCGUAGGUGGUUCUGUAUGUCUAUCGUGAAAGCGUACGGCUCAACCGUAUUUUGUCGGUAGAAACUGCAGGACUUGAGGCUGGGAGGGGCUGGUGGAAUUCCCUGUGUAGCGGUGAAAUGCGUAGAGAUGGGGGAGAACACUCGUGGCGAGGGCGGCCAGCUAGACCAGUUCUGACACUGAGGCGCGACAGCGUGGGGAGCAAACAGG